GACGAACGCUGGCGGCGUGCUUAACACAUGCAAGUCGAACGGAAAGGCCCUGCUUUUGUGGGGUGCUCGAGUGGCGAACGGGUGAGUAACACGUGAGUAACCUUCCCUUGACUUUGGGUUAACUUCAGGAAACUGGGGCUAAUACCGGAUAGGAGCUCCUGCUGCAUGGUGGGGGUUGGAAAGUUUCGGCGGUUGGGGAUGGACUUGCGGCUUAUCCGCUUGUUGGUGGGGUAGUGGCUUACCAAGGCUUUGACGGGUAGCCGGCCUGAGAGGGUGACCGGCCACAUUGGGACUGAGAUACGGCCCAGACUCCAACGGGAGGCAGCAGUGGGGAAUAUUGCACAAUGGGCGGAAGCCUGAUGCAGCGACGCCGCGUGCGGGAUGACGGCCUUCGGGUUGUAAACCGCUUUCGCCUGUGACGAAGCGUGAGUGACGGUAAUGGGUAAAGAAGCACCGGCUAACUACGUG
rnacentral:rRNA from 1 species